GUUACUUCGGUACGAUCGGUGACAGGUGGUGCAUGGUUGUCGUCAGCUCGUGUCGUGAGAUGUUGGGUUAAGUCCCGCAACGAGCGCAACCCCUAUUGUUAGUUGCCAUCAUUCAGUUUGGGCACUCUAGCGAGACUGCCGGUAAUAAACCGGAGGAAGGUGGGGAUGACGUCAAAUCAUCAUGCCCCUUAUGACCUGGGCUACACACGUGCUACAAUGGUUGGUACAACGAGUUGCGAGUCGGUGACGGCGAGCUAAUCUCUUAAAGCCAAUCUCAGUUCGGAUUGUAGGCUGCAACUCGCCUACAUGAAGUCGGAAUCGCUAGUAAUCGCGGAUCAGCACGCCGCGGUGAAUACGUUCCCGGGCCUU
rnacentral:rRNA from 1 species